UGAGGAAUAUUGGUCAAUGGGCGAGAGCCUGAACCAGCCAAGUCGCGUGAAGGAAGACUGCCCGCAAGGGUUGUAAACUUCUUUUGUAUGGGAUUAAAGUCGUCUACGUGUAGGCGUUUGCAGUUACCAUACGAAUAAGCAUCGGCUAACUACGUGCCAGCAGCCGCGGUAAUACGUAGGUGGCAAGCGUUGUCCGGAAUUAUUGGGCGUAAAGCGCGCGCAGGCGGACUAGCCAGUCAGUCUUAAAAGUUCGGGGCUUAACCCCGUGAUGGGAUUGAAACUACUAGUCUAGAGUAUCGGAGAGGAAAGUGGAAUUCCUAGUGUAGCGGUGAAAUGCGUAGAUAUUAGGAAGAACACCAGUGGCGAAGGCGACUUUCUGGACGAACACUGACGCUGAGGCGCGAAAGCCAGGGGAGCGAACGGG
rnacentral:rRNA from 1 species